rnacentral:rRNA from 1 species
AGGUAGCGAAAUUCCUUGUCGGGUAAGUUCCGACCCGCACGAAAGGUGUAACGAUCUGGGCACUGUCUCGACCAUAGACUCGGUGAAAUUUUAAUACCUGUGAAAAUGCAGGUUACCCGCGACAGGACGGAAAGACCCCGUGGAGCUUUACUACAGCUUGAUAUUGGAAUUUGGUUUAUUAUGUAGAGAAUAGGUGGGAGACUUUGAAAUUAGGACGCCAGUCCUAAUGGAGUCACCUUUGGAAUACCACCCUUAAUAAGCUGGAUUUCUAACCUGGUAUCGUGAAUCCGGUAUAGGGACAGUGUCUGGUGGGUAGUUUGACUGGGGCGGUCGCCUCCUAAAGAGUAACGGAGGCGCUCAAAGGUUCCCUCAGAAUGGUUGGAAAUCAUUCGAAGAGUGUAAAGGUAUAAGGGAGCUUGACUGCGAGACCAACAAGUCGAGCAGGUGCGAAAGCAGGACUUAGUGAUCAGGCGAUUCAGUAUGGAAUGGUCGUCGCUUAACGGAUAAAAGUUACCCUGGGGAUAACAGGCUGAUACCACCCAAUAGUUCACAUAGACGGUGGUGAUUGGCACCUCGAUGUCGGCUCGUCACAUCCUGGAGCUGGAUUCGGUUCCAAGGGUUGGGCUGUUCGCCCAUUAAAGUGGCACGCGAGCUGGGUUCAGAACGUCGUGAGACAGUUCGGUCCCUAUCCGUCGUGGGCGUAGGAAAAUUGAGGAGAGCUGUUCCUAGUACGAGAGGACCGGAAUGGACCUACCUCUGGUGUAUCUGUUGUCACGCCAGUGGCAGUGCAGAGUAGCUAUGUAGGGAAUGGAUAACCGCUGAAAGCAUCUAAGCGGGAAGCCAACUUCAAGAUGAGUUUUCCCAUUUUUUAUAAAGUAAGAUCCCAGAAAGACUAUCUGGUUGAUAGGCUAGAGGUGGAAGCAUGGUGACAUGUUGAGCUGACUAGUACUAAUAGAUCGAGGAUUUAAUCCU